AGGGAUGUAGCGCGGCUUGGUAGCGCCCUUGUUUUGGGUAAAAAAUGUCAUGGGUUCAAAUCCUGUCAUCCCUA
rfam:Ricinus communis cultivar Hale ctg_1100012318421, whole genome shotgun sequence.